rnacentral:rRNA from 1 species
GACGAACGCUGGCGGCGUGCUUAACACAUGCAAGUCGAACGGAAAGGCCCUGCUUUUGUGGGGUGCUCGAGUGGCGAACGGGUGAGUAACACGUGAGUAACCUGACCUUGACUUUGGGAUGGCUUCAGGAAACUGAGGCUAAUACCGGAUAGGAGCUCCUGCUGCAGGGGGGGGGUUGGUAAGUUUCGGCGGUUGGGGAUGGACUCGCGGCUUAUCAGCUUGUUGGUGGGGUAGUGGCUUACCAAGGCGUUGACGGGUAGCCGGCCUGAGAGGGUGACCGGCCACAUUGGGACUGAGAUACGGCCCAGACUCCUACGGGAGGCAGCAGUGGGGAAUAUUGCACAAUGGGCGGAAGCCUGAUGCAGCAACGCCGCGUGCGGGAUGACGGCCUUCGGGUUGUAAACCGCUUUCGCCUGUGACGAAGCGUGAGUGACGGUAAUUGGUAAAGAAGCACCGGCUAACUACGUG